rnacentral:rRNA from 1 species
GAUGAACGCUGGCGGCGUGCCUAAUACAUGCAAGUCGAGCGAACGGACGAGAAGCUUGCUUUUCUGAUGUUAGCGGCGGACGGGUGAGUAACACGUGGAUAACCUACCUAUAAGACUGGGAUAACUUCGGGAAACCGGAGCUAAUACCGGAUAAUAUUUUGAACCGCAUGGUUCAAAAGUGAAAGACGGUCUUGCUGUCACUUAUAGAUGGAUCCGCGCUGCAUUAGCUAGUUGGUAAGGUAACGGCUUACCAAGGCAACGAUGCAUAGCCGACCUGAGAGGGUGAUCGGCCACACUGGAACUGAGACACGGUCCAGACUCCUACGGGAGGCAGCAGUAGGGAAUCUUCCGCAAUGGGCGAAAGCCUAACGGAGCAACGCCGCGUGAGUGAUGAAGGUCUUCGGAUCGUAAAACUCUGUUAUUAGGGAAGAACAUAUGUGUAAGUAACUGUGCACAUCUUGACGGUACCUAAUCAGAAAGCCACGGCUAACUACGUG